CCUGACGCAGCGACGCCGCGUGCGGGAAGAAGGCCUUCGGGUUGUAAACCGCUUUCAGGAGGGACGAGGCCACUCGGGUUAAUAGCCCAGAGGGUGACGGUACCUCCAGAAGAAGCCCCGGCUAACUACGUGCCAGCAGCCGCGGUAAUACGUAGGGGGCUAGCGUUGUCCGGAUUUAUUGGGCGUAAAGAGCGCGUAGGCGGCCGAGUAAGUCCGACGUGAGAUCUGGGGGCUCAACCUCCAGCGGUCGUUGGAAACUACUCGGCUAGAGUCCGGAAGAGGAGAGUGGAAUUCCUGGUGUAGCGGUGAAAUGCGCAGAUAUCAGGAAGAACACCGAUGGCGAAAGCAGCUCUCUGGGACGGUACUGACGCUGAGGCGCGAAAGCGUGGGGAGCGAACAGGAUUAGAUACCCUGGUAGUCCACGCCGUAAACGAUGGGUGCUAGGUGUGGGCGGUGUCGACUCCGCCCGUGCCGCAGCUAACGCAUUAAGCACCCCGCCUGGGGAGUACGGCCGCAAGGCUA
rnacentral:rRNA from 1 species